rnacentral:rRNA from 1 species
UGGGGGAUAUUGCACAAUGGGCGAAAGCCUGAUGCAGCGACGCCGCGUGGGGGAUGAAGGCUUUCGGGUUGUAAACCUCUUUCCCUAUCGAACAAGGCCCGCUUAGGGUGGGUUGAGGGUAGGUGGAGAAGAAGCGCCGGCUAACUACGUGCCAGCAGCCGCGGUAAUACGUAGGGCGCGAGCGUUGCCCGGAAUUAUUGGGCGUAAAGGGCGUGUGGGCGGCUUGUUGCGCCUGCCGUGAAAACGCGGGGCUUAACUUCGCGCGUGCAGUGGGUACGGGCAGGCUUGAGUGUGGUAGGGGUGACUGGAAUUCCAGGUGUAGCGGUGGAAUGCGCAGAUAUCUGGAGGAACACCGAUGGCGAAGGCAGGUCACUGGGCCAUUACUGACGCUGAGGAGCGAAAGCAUGGGUAGCGAACAGG